GAAGUGAAAUCCUAUGGCUCAACCAUAGAACUGCUUCCAAAACUAUUUAACUAGAGUCUGGGAGGGGAAGAUGGAAUUAGUAGUGUAGGGGUAAAAUCCGUAGAGAUUACUAGGAAUACCAAAAGCGAAGGCGAUCUUCUGGAACAGUACUGACGCUGAGAUGCGAAAGCGUGGGGAGCAAACAGGAUUAGAUACCCUGGUAGUCCACGCAGUAAACGAUGAAUGUUAGUCGUUGGGUCUCUAGUAGAUUCAGUGAUGCAGUUAACACAUUAAACAUUCCGCCUGGGGAGUACGGUCGCAAGAUUAAAACUCAAAGGAAUAGACGGGGACCCGCACAAGUGGUGGAGCAUGUGGUUUAAUUCGAAGAUACGCGAAGAACCUUACCUAGCCUUGACAUUGAGAGAAUCCGACAGAGAUGUUGGAGUGCCUUCGGGAGCUUGAAAACAGGUGCUGCACGGCUGUCGUCAGCUCGUGUCGUGAGAUGUUGGGUUAAGUCCCGCAACGAGCGCAACCCUCGUUCUUAGUUACUAACGAUUCGGCUGAGGACUCUAAGGAGACUGCCUUCGUAAGGAGGAGGAAGGUGAGGACGACGUCAAGUCAUCAUGCCCCUUAUGGCUAGGGCNACACACGUGCUACAAUGGUUAGGACAAUGAGACGCGAUACUGCGAGGUGGAGCAAAUCUUAAACCUAAUCUCAGUUCGGAUUGCAGUCUGCAACUCGACUGCAUGAAGCUGGAAUCGCUAG
rnacentral:rRNA from 1 species